rnacentral:ncRNA from 2 species
CACUAUCUUGGGGUUGUCGGUUCCUGCGGCACCUCGCCACGGGAUCAAAAGGGAAGCCGGCGUGGCGUGUGAGCGCCAACGUCGGUGCUGUGCCGCAGCGGUCAUUGGGAACGAUCCUUCACUGCCUGAGGCUCCCGCCUUGGCGAGCGACGGGUUCGGAACUGCCCAGUCGCCGCGCGGCCUAUCAGCCCGAAGACCUGCCGACAGCCGCGUGAAGCA